rnacentral:rRNA from 1 species
AUUGAACGCUAGCGGCAGGCUUAACACAUGCAAGUCGAGCGGGGGAAGGUAGCUUGCUACCGGACCUAGCGGCGGACGGGUGAGUAAUGCUUAGGAAUCUGCCUAUUAGUGGGGGACAACAUCUCGAAAGGGAUGCUAAUACCGCAUACGUCCUACGGGAGAAAGCAGGGGAUCUUCGGACCUUGCGCUAAUAGAUGAGCCUAAGUCGGAUUAGCUAGUUGGUGGGGUAAAGGCCUACCAAGGCGACGAUCUGUAGCGGGUCUGAGAGGAUGAUCCGCCACACUGGAACUGAGACACGGCCCAGACUCCUACGGGAGGCAGCAGUGGGGAAUAUUGGACAAUGGGGGGAACCCUGAUCCAGCCAUGCCGCGUGUGUGAAGAAGGCCUUAUGGUUGUAAAGCACUUUAAGCGAGGAGGAGGCUACUCUAGUUAAUACCUAGGGAUAGUGGACGUUACUCGCAGAAUAAGCACCGGCUAACUCUGUGCCAGCCGCCGCAGUAA